ensembl:lncRNA
GACAGGCUUGAAUAUGUUUUUGUCAGAGAUGGCAGUUUUGCUGUUUCAGUCUUUCACACAGGAUGGAUUAUUCUGCAGCACUUACCUGGUUCUGACACUAAGGUCCAGCACCGGUGUGUCGCAGGACUUUGACUGAUGCAUCCAUAAAACAAACUGUUUUAAUCAGGCACAAUCACCUGGGAAAGACUUCCUCAGUGAGACUCAUCCGGUUCAGACCGGUCAGAAGGUUCUAGAAAGCCCACAGCCAAGCCCAGUUAGUCUCUGACUCUGUGCAGCACCCCCCAGCCUAGAGUCCAACUAUCCAAGGCUGGACUGCUCCAAAGAUCACCAUGUGUGACGAAAAGCAUUUAGUUCACGUAGGUCAUUGUGUUGACUGUUUGGCAACCCUUCAUGUCUUCCACUCUGCCACCACUGCAAGCAUCUUGUCACUGCUGACCUAAUGAGAGUGAUGGAGAGGAGACCAGCUCUGUCCAGUCCCCAGCACCACUCAGACCCCUUCUUACUUAAACCUCUUCGUCCCCAGUGGAACAUGAGGCCGCAACUACCUGCCUCCAUCUGGGCCUGUCCUCCUGGGCAGCGUGGUGUGCCUCGCCCCCAAGUUAGCUUAGCUGUUAGCUGUUCUGAGGUCACACUUCACAGGUCACAUCUCACACAGGCCAGGCCAAAGACAUCAGAGAGGACAGACACGUCACCCCUGCAACAGGUACCGUCACAUCACCAAAGACAUCAGAGAGGACAGACACGCCACCCCGCGUGGGUACCGUCACAUCAGUGUCUUUGGAAUGCUGAAGAAUACCUGGGCCCAUCAGAUAGAAUAGAAUCAUGAGCUUGGAGCUGAAGAGAUAUUAGAUUGGACAGAGUGGCAUCACGGAGGAGCUUGGAGAUGAAGAGAUAUUAGAUUGGACAGAGUGGCAUCACGGAGGAGAAGAACAGACAGAGUGGCAUCACGGAGGAGAAGAGAAGAGGAGGAGAAGAAAAGAGAAGGGUGCAGACAAAAAAGUGAUUGUUUGCGUUGCUCUCCCCAGCGACAGCAGACAGCCCACUAUCAGCAGCACAGGGCUCCUUCACAGGCUCUGGGACAGAGGAAUGAGCUGACAUUGAGCAGAACAGAACC